rnacentral:rRNA from 1 species
CUAUGUGCUCAUAGCACCUGAUCUUGUUUGAUCUCAAGGUUGGGCCAGGUUAGUACUUGGAUGGGAGACUGCCUGGGAAAUACCAGGCUAAAUGGC